UUAUGUAUGCCACUACAGCAGCCUGAAUUUUGCUUGCACAAAAAUGGAGAACAGGUGCAGUGCUGACCAUGAAGGAAUGGCACUUUACGUUGUUGGAAUAUGUGGAGCUGGUGGGUCUGACCAGUAAGAUAAGAGAACAAGAUGAUGAAGAAUACAAAAAGCAAUGGAAAUGUUUGUAGAGUAUUUUAAAAAUCAGUAUAAACAAGUGAACAGAUUAGCAGGACUUGAAUAAAUUCAGCAGUAUAAGUGGAAGUAGGAGUAGUAAGAAGAGUAGAACUUGGUAACUUGGAAGAGAGGGAAAAGAAAAUAUAUCAGAGAAGGAGAGGAAGGGAAAUCCUUAGGUGUUUUGUGUUGUGUCCUUGGUUUUUCAUGGUUUUGUUUUCAUUUUUCUUCAUUUAUUCUUUACUUUCUUUUUCUUUUUAAUUGUAUGUAAAAACACAGAAUAAAAAUUACUUUCAAUUAACCCAACUGAUUAAUUGACAAAGCACUGCAGCUGGAGGAGGAGCUGUGGAAAAUGUCAGGGCAGCAUUGCAGAUGGUUUUAUGGCACCAGGGAAGCAGAGAAAGCAUUGGUGAGAAAAUAUGCAGAACCAAACUUCAGAUUGGAAAAGAGAGAGAGAGAAACUGAGAGAAACCAAAAGUGACUCAUUUGCCCAUCCUGAAUCACAGCAAGCACCACCUGGACCUCUUGAGGAGCGAUGAUAAAGCUACUGAUUAAAUUUUAAAGAAACUGUCUUUGAACAAGUCAAGAGCUGGAACUGUAGGGGAAUACAUUAUUUAAAGGAGAAGCCACGUGA